AAAGACACCUUAUGUAUUAUUCCAAACAAACAACCCAAUAAUUAACAAAAAUAAAAAGUUGGCUAAAUGAGAAUACCUUAUUUUAAAAAGUUGGAUAAAUGGGAAGACACCCCCGCAGAAUAGGUAAUUUUGAAUUGUUUUAUUGUAGGUGAAUCAGCAGAAUUCUUAAAUUUUGAUUCAAAUUCUCUAUCGCCUGUUCAAACUGGUCAAAAAGGAUGUGCAAGGUUAGAUUUAACAGAAGAUUCUAAAUGGAUUGCUGAUGAUUGUGCUAGAGUUUUCUGGGAUAUCGGGCAUAUUUGUCAAUAUACUGGAACAAGUUAGUUUAAAUAGUUUAAAAGUCUGAUAAUUGAAAGUUUGCAGUUUUUUUUGCGCCAAUUUGUUAUUAUUUACAAACGUCUUAAAAAUCGAAUUCUAUACGAAAAAGUAUUUAAGGAUAGAAAGUAUACGAUAAGUUACUUAAACACAGUCUCUACAAAAGAGAUUUAAAAAAGAAACAAUAACAAUCUCAUAAGAUGAAAAUAAAAUGACACGGCUAUUGCAACUUAGUAAGACCACAACUUAAUCAGUUAAACAAAACACAACAUAAAAAAACUAAAAGCUGAGCAACACAAACCCCACUAAAAUCGGGGAUGAUCUAGAACACCCUGAAGGGUGAGUAGAUCCUGCUCCACAAGUGACAACCUUCCAAACUUUUUAUGGUAAAUCAUGCAGAUUGAGGCGUAGACAGAUUAAACUUCUUAGAAAUUCACAUCUUUGUCAUUGUUGAAAAAUCUUAUCACAUAAGAUGGUCCAAGGUGCUAUGAGUAUUCGCUCGUUUUUCUGUUAUCAACUUAUUUUAAACAGUUAGAUUUGUUUAUUCCACGUGUUUUUCGUAUUGUGAUCUUAUAUGUAUGCAAUGAAAUAGUGUAUAAAAACUAUCUUGUACUUGUCUAAGAGCUAAAACGCCAUCUUUCUUAUCACAUUAAAAUGUUGUUUUCAUUGUUUUUUUAGGCUCUGCACCAUAUACGAGUAAGUAAGCUUCUUAAAGAAGACCAUUUGAUGACCACUAUGAGUAUGAAAUUAGGACCAGCCUUGAAAAUUUGUGCUAAAAUUAACUCCUUGCGAGAAGGACAUGACUAAACGCAUUUUGCCAGAGGCAGACAUUUUUAUUGGUGCAGAACACGUAAAAGUGUGAUAAUGUACAUAUGUGUAAUAUUGUUGUGUAUGAUACAAUGUAAUUGAUUGUUAGAAUAGAUUGAAUUUAUUUGGAAUAUAUUGUUUGCUCAUAGUAGUAUGCUUGUACUAUAUCACAUUUAUUAAAGGAAGGCUUAAAUUAAUUUGGUCCAAAAUUUAAAACUCUGACAUAUUCUAUCUAAACACAAUAAUUACAUCUUAUAUGAAUAAAUAUAAAUCAAGUAUUUUAUAUACUGCUUGCUUUUGAAUAGAGUGAAAAAAGGUACUAUUCCAGGUUUUAUUCAGAUUUGCUGUUUCAAUACAACUACACUGUUAAACCCAAAACAAGAAAUUUGCUAUGAAAAUGGGCAUUAAGGCAUCAGGGCAUCUGCACAGAAAAAAAAGAAAAAAAUUGUUGGUUCAUGCAUGUUGUAAAACCAUGAAGCAAAAUUUAUCCCAAUGUUUGCCUUAAUCUGUCUAAACAGAGAUUUUAAUUAUUAUUUAACAUUGAUGGCAUUUGAAUGAAAUCAUCACAAAUAAUAAUGUAUAUAUUGUAAUCAUCUGUUAUUUAUACAUUGUUAACAUUUUGUUUGUCAAAGAAAAGUAAAAAAUGAAAUUUCACAAAAUUCUAAGGAUCAAUAUAGAUUUCAUGCAGCUUCCUACAUUUAGUGCUAUGUCCAGCAACAGGUUGUAGAUAUUUUUAUUUAUGUUAAUUAAAUUUUUAAGUAUAAAAUAUUUUAUUCCUAAUUUUGACUUUUUCUAUCUCAUCAGGAAAUUUGUCUAACUUAUCUUGAUUUUUGCUCCAUCUCAGUUGGUAUAUUUCAAAAAUAUCUCUGCCUUGUUUAUAACUAUAUGUAUCAUGUAUAAUCGUGAAUAAAAAAA
rnacentral:lncRNA from 1 species